rnacentral:lncRNA from 1 species
AUGAGGACUCAUGACACACAAAGAGUCAUUAGGGUAAGAUUUUUAUACCAUCACUGUGUAGGCUUAUCAAACUACUACUCACACAAGUCACGUUCGAUCUGUGGCAGGCGCUAGGCAUCGAAACACCAUGAACCGUACAACUAUGUGCCAGUUAGUUGUGGGUCAGUAUUGGGGUUGAACUCGUGACCACCCGGUCAAGAACCCUACUAAAGUGGAUAAACCUUACCACCUCUAUCCAAACCAAUAGAUCUGGGAAUCAUUGGCCGAAAAGAAAGAUCUUAUUUAUGAAAUGUCUAGCAUUUGACGAGAAGGAUGACAAAUGAUUCAUGGUUGGAUCAUGCAUGGAUUGACCAUGCGUGGUAUGGCCACUUUUGCAAAGUUACUUUACAUCUUUGUUUAAUUAGUCAAUCAAACCACACUUAAAAUCAACCUUUUGUAAAGAAAAAGACACUUAGUUACACACUCUCUAAAGUGGUCUUAAAUUUCUUUCAUACUCCAUUAUCAAGAUAAAGGUAAAGGAGCAAUAGAUUCAAGAGAAGCAAGUAGUUUUUAAAAAUUCUUUACUCAUUUGU